GAACGCAUCUUGCGCUCCUUGGUAUUCCGAAGGGUAUGCUCGUUUGAGUGUCAUUGUACUCUCACUCUCCCGAUACUUUUGGAUCGGGAGUGGUGGACUUGGGUGCUGCUGCUUAACUGUGGCUCGCCUCAAAUGAAGUAGUGCAACUCUCGGUUGGACAUAGUACGGCGUGAUAAGUAUCUUCGCCGGCGCCUCAUUCGAGGGUGGCCGAUCGGGAGCUCUGUGCUUCAAACCGUCUUCGGACAAUAUCUGACAACUUGACCUCAAAUCGAGUAGGACUACCCGCUGAACUUAAG
rnacentral:misc_RNA from 1 species